rnacentral:rRNA from 1 species
CCUACGGGAGGCAGCAGUGGGGAAUAUUGGGCAAUGGAGGCAACUCUGACCCAGCAACGCCGCGUGAAUGAUGAAGGUCUUCGGAUUGUAAAGUUCUUUUCUAAGGGAAGAAGAAAGUGACGGUACCUUAGGAAUAAGCCUCGGCUAACUACGUGCCAGCAGCCGCGGUAAUACGUAGGAGGCAAGCGUUAUCCGGAAUGACUGGGCGUAAAGGGUGCGUAGGUGGUUUGACAAGUUAGUAGCGCAACUCCGGAGCUCAACUUCGGAACUACUACUAAAACUGUUGGACUUGAGUGCAGGAGGGGCAAUCGGAAUUCCUAGUGUAGCGGUGGAAUCCGUAGAUAUCUGGAGGAACAUCAGUGGCGAAGGCGACUAUCUGGCACAUAACUGACGCUGAGGAGCGAAAGCGUGGGUAGCAAACAGGAUUAGAUACCCGAGUAGUC